rnacentral:rRNA from 1 species
UUGGAGGGCAAGUCUGGUGCCAGCAGCCGCGGUAAUUCCAGCUCCAAUAGCGUAUAUUAAAGUUGUUGCAGUUAAAAAGCUCGUAGUUGAAUUUCGGGAUCAAUAUUUCGGUCAUGCCGUUGGUAUGCACUGUUAUCAUUGAUUUCUCACCUUCUAAAGAACCGUAAUGCCAUUAAUUUGGUGUCACGGGGAAUUAGGACUGUUACCUUGAAAAAAUUAGAGUGUUUAAAGCAGGCUCACGCUUGAAUACAUUAGCAUGGAAUAAUGAAAUAGGACAUCCGAUUCUAUUUUGUUGGUUUCUAGGAUCGAUGUAAUGAUUAAUAGGGAUAGUUGGGGGCAUUAGUAUUCAAUUGUCAGAGGUGAAAUUCUUGGAUUUAUUGAAGACUAACUACUGCGAAAGCAUUUGCCAAGGAUGUUUUCAUUAAUCAAGAACGAAAGUUAGGGGAUCGAAGACGAUCAGAUACCGUCGUAGUCUUAACCAUAAACUAUGCCGACUAGGGAUCGGAUGAUGUUAAUUUUUUAAUGACUCAUUCGGCACCUUACGGGAAACCAAAG